rnacentral:lncRNA from 1 species
GCGAUUGCCAAGUUCGUUUCUAAUAUGUACAACUGUGAUAUUUAAUUAUCAACAAAGGAUGGAUCUAUUUAACAUGAGGCACCUGGGUGGCUCAGUGGGUUAAAGCAUCCGACUUUGGCUCAGGUCAUGAUCUGGUGGUUCAUGAGCUGAAGCCCUGCAUCGGGCUCUGUGCUGACAGCUCAGAGCCUGGAGCCUGCUUCAGAUUCUGUAUCUCCCUCUUUCUCUCUGCCCCUCCCUUGCUUGUACAAAACUAACCCAUGUAGCUUUAAAAAAGGGGGGAUAGAUCAAAACUUCCCACAUUUAUGCCAAUGUUAGUUUUGACACCAGCAAAGCUUCCUUCAGUUUGUGAAACUAAGAAACCAUCUUGCUACAUGUAUUUUUACCUGAUUACAUUUACAAUGUGCAUCCUCAGUUUUAAAUGUCAGCAAGUCACUCAGGUGUAUGAACGAGAAUCCAAUCCUAUUAUCAAAUCAUUCCAUGUGGUUUUUUUCUUGCAUUUUAAAAAACAUACAGUGCUAAGGAUAGACUUGGUGAUCGUAAUAUUGACAACCAGCCAUGUUGGCAUGAAAGAUUUCAGCAUGGACUCCCAUGUUCACAAGCAAGUAAGUGACUAGUGGCACUUUCACUAAACACUCCACAGUUGGGAAGAAGCCCAUUAUAGGUCAAAGUCAUAGAUCCAUUUUGUUUAUGGGGAAUUUUGCUGCUUGUAAAAUUUACAAGUCACUGGCUGCGGGGACCCUUCUUCUCAGGGGCACGUCUGGAAGUCAGCUGAGUCCGCGGGCACACCCUUGACCGCAGCGCGGCUGAGCACCUACUGUUCGGGCUUUGGGACCCGCCUGACUCGGCCGCCGUGCGCUCCGGGCUCUACCUCCUGGUCCCUCAGCUUCCGCCUCCGUUUCUGGCCCGGGGAAGUUGCCCACAGACACCCCGAGUGCCAGCUAGAGUUCAUCCCCCGAAGGCUGGAAGGCCUCUCCGCGCGGAGCAGUGGUUGCCCCAGCGCUCCGCUCCUGACCCGGAAGAGGUGGCGUGGGCCGCUCGGCCACCCCGUGUACUCCCCAAGCUCUCGGUGCGCGCAACGCCAACCCCGCUGCUGGUCCCGCGGAACCAACUUGGGAGCAGGAGACUGAAAGGAGGCGUGCGGGACAAUCAAGGGACUGCAAAGGGGCAGUGACAGUCCUCACGGUGCGAAGGCUACGGCUUGUCGCUCCCUUUGGGCUUCCCAAGGUCUGGCCCACACCCUGGCUUCCCCAACCAGACAGGGCUGAGAUGUGGGGAACGCAUGAGCGGAGCAAGCAGGACCCGAUGGAAAUAGUGCUUCCGUCGCUGCAGGUAAGGGGCUCAAAAUAUUUUGGUUUUCACUAAAAAUUAGCGAGAGUAGGAGGCUAAAGAAGGGCUGGAGGAAGGCACCUGAGCAUGUAUGUAAGUAAAUAAUCUUGCAUGCAGGGAAUGCGGGGGCGGCCAUCGUGUUGGGGGGUAUCAGCCCUACACUUCCGUAUUUGAGCUGUGCGAGCAAGCUGGGUGAAUCUGGUUCUUGGGGGUUUUCCAUAAAGUGGAAGUCUCUACACCGUCACAGAACCAAGGACCUACUUCCAAGCUGACAUUAAACGGAAGUUGUUUAAUGGUGACCAAAGGGGAAGAUUCACUAGGCGGACAGAAAUCAGCCCCAGUCACGCUCCACGUUCUUACUGGGGUCUUCCGUUAGUCCUCUUCGUGCCGCACGGUUUUCCUAACCGAAGAGAAAGUCAAGUCCCAGUGCUGUCCAGCCACACUUCGAAUGAGCUCUGGGCCCCGGUGCAGCUGCAGCUGCAUGGAGCUGGGGAGGCAAUUCUCUGACCAGAUGCGCUCAUGUGGUGGCCCUUAGCUGCUGUUUUCCAUCCCAGUAGCAUUCCCUCCCUCACAGGAGCCUGACUCCCUCUGGGAACCCUCCCCCCUCUGCCUUUUUCUGAAAAGUCCAGCUAAAUUGCUCAGGAAACAGGCCAGCUUUCCUAAUGUUCCAAGCUUC